rnacentral:rRNA from 1 species
GAUGAACGCUGGCGGCGUGCCUAACACAUGCAAGUCGAACGGGUGUGGUAUCAGGGAAAAGGGGUUUACUUCUUUGACCAGAUAACACACUAGUGGCGGACGGGUGAGUAACGCGUGGAUAACCUGCCUUAUACAGGGGGAUAACAGGGAGAAAUUCCUGCUAAUACCCCAUAGGUAUGUCUGACGCAUGUUGGACAUAUUAAAGCUUUGGCGGUAUAAGAUGGGUCCGCGUCUGAUUAGCUAGUUGGUGGGGUAAAGGCCCACCAAGGCGACGAUCAGUAGCCGGCUUGAGAGAGUGGACGGCCACAUUGGGACUGAGACACGGCCCAAACUCCUACGGGAGGCAGCAGUGGGGAAUAUUGCACAAUGGGGGAAACCCUGAUGCAGCGACGCCGCGUGAAGGGAGAAGGUCUUCGGAUCGUAAACUUCUAUCAGCAGGGAAGAAGGAAGUGACAGUAC